rnacentral:tRNA from 1 species
UAGCUCAAUGGUAGGGUGCCUGCCUAGCAUGCAGGAUGUCUUGGGUUUGAUUCCCCA